AAGACUGUGCUUCAUAGGAUCAUUUCUAUAGGCAAGUUUUCAGCUUUACUUUCUCCGAAAGUAGAGUUUUUCCAACCCACGAUGAUGUGAUGUAGUGGUUGUCCUGGAGCGUGAAGUUGCCGGAUCUCGGCUGCGUCUCUGACGCGUCGAUCUGUGCUUGAUGAUCGUAUCCGAUGUCAAAGGGCAGACACAGUCUGAGUGGU
rnacentral:snoRNA from 1 species